AUGGCCAGUGUAAACUGCAAGGUGGCCGUCUCCCUGUUCAAGAGGACGCUGUGCCUGGGCCCUGCGCAGAAGCCUGGCGGUCAGCGCACGCUACUGACCGUCAGCAGGCUGCAGGAGUGGGGGCUGAAGGAGGGCCGCACCGUGCACAAGUGCUUCACCCCCCAGAACAUGGCCGUGUGCAAACUUCACUCUGUCACUCUUCCCCGACAGGAGUCUAUGAGCGACAGCCUGCAGACCUGCUACAAGUACCUGAACCAGACCAGCAGGAGCUUCGCCGCCGUCAUCCAAGCCCUGGACGGAGAGCUGCGACAUGCCGUGUGUAUCUUCUAUCUGGUGCUUCGAGCUCUGGACACCGUGGAGGACGACAUGACCAUCAAUCUAGAGACCAAAAUCCCCAUGUUACAUAACUUCCACACGUACCUGUACCAGGCGGAGUGGAGGUUUACGGAGAGCAAGGAGAAGGAUCGGCAAGUUCUGGAGGACUUCCCCACGAUUUCCCUGGAGUUCAGAAACCUGGCGGUGGUUUAUCAGAAGGUGAUUGUAGACAUCUGCCACAAGAUGGGGGUGGGCAUGGCGGAGUUCUUGGAGAAGCGGGUGGAAUCUCUCCUGGAUUGGGAUAAGUACUGUCACUAUGUAGCUGGAUUAGUGGGGAUUGGUCUGUCACGCCUGUUCUCCGCCUCUGAACUGGAAGACGCCAUCGUCGGUGAAGAUGCAAGACUCUCAAACUCUAUGGGGCUCUUCCUACAGAAAACAAACAUCAUCCGAGAUUAUCUGGAGGACCAGCUGGACGGAAGAGAGUUCUGGCCCAGAGAGGUGUGGAGCAAAUACGGGAAAAAACUGUCAGACUUUGCCAAACCGGAGAACAUAGUGCCGGCUGUGCAGUGCUUGAAUGAACUGGUGACCAAUGCUCUGCAGCACGUGCCCGAUGUCCUGCUCUACCUGUCCCGGCUGAGGAACCAGAGCGUGUUUAACUUCUGCGCCAUCCCACAGGUCAUGGCUAUCUCCACACUGGCCGCCUGUUAUAACAACCAGCAGGUGUUUAAAGGAGUGGUGAAGAUCCGUAAGGGGCAGGCGGUCACGCUGAUGAUGGACGCCACCAAAAUGCAAACGGUCCGAGCUAUCAUGUACCAGUAUGUGAAUGAGAUCUACCAGAAGAUCCCCCUUACGGACCCCUCCUCAGGACGCACACAGAACAUUGUCUCCACCGUCCAGAAACUGAGCUUGUCCAGUGGCCCCCUGGUGUCCCGACACAGCUUCUCCCCCAUUUACCUGUCAUGUGCAAUGCUUUUGGCCGCCCUCAGCUGGCAGUACCUGAGCACAGUCCAGGCCUCGGAGGAGGUGCACACAGGCCAGUGACCUGGGACAGCAUAUCUACAUCAAUACAACCCUCCAUAUGGUAGCGCUCAUCAACCUGCCCCCCUUGUCUCAGACGAUUAUGGGACAGGAUAUUUUAGUUCAGUCAUAGUACUUGACGCACAUUUAUCGGGCAUCGUUUGACUUGGACUGAUCCUGGACGGCUUGAUCCCGGGAGAGGGGAUCCUUUCUAGGACUUUUCCAUGCUGGGAUGAGCCAUCAGGAUAUUUGGAGAUUUAGCUGGUAGUUAGGAAUGGAGGGCU